AAUUGAGUUUUAAAUAAUUUUGCUUCUUCUUCUAUACUGAUAUCGGAGUUGAGUUCGAGAAUAAGAAAAGAGAUAUAAAAAUGUUCAUGUUUCUUUGAUUCUGUUUUUGUUUUCAAUUAUUUUCCAAAACAAAAAUCAAAAUAUAUAUUUCUCCUUUCUUUCUGGGUUGAAGUUGGUUUGAAAAUGGUGCUCGAUUGAGAGUCACUGAGUUUGUUGCUGUCCGAGUUUUUUAUUUUUACUCGAUGUUGUUGUUGGCCGUGCUGAUAUUAGCUACUGUAUUUCACUGUUACUGAUUCAGCUGAGAUUGAGACGUUGUUCGGAUUUCUAUCAUUGCUUUCUUCUUCGAAUCUUGUUGCUGCACAUUUUGUUUUGCCAUUGAAAUCUUUUCAUAUUUUGUAUUCAGGCAAACUAAUACAGGUUCGUUUUAGACUCAACUUUGAUAUUGUUGUUGGUUCAAGGAGCUGUGUUUUUAUUUACGCAUGUCGUAAUUUGUUCGUUGAGGUGUUUUCAUCUGUAUAUGGCAUCUGAUUUCGUCGGAUCUCCUUCAUUUCUACUUAGUCACUGGUCGAAAUGUUGAUUUCACGUUAGUUGUGCUUCGAAUUUUUCUGUUUAACUUGUGCCCAAAUCGACAAAUAAGAGUACUAGCUUAUGUG
rnacentral:lncRNA from 1 species